rnacentral:rRNA from 1 species
GAUGAACGCUGGCGGCGUGCCUAAUACAUGCAAGUCGAGCGAACAGACGAGGAGCUUGCUCCUCUGACGUUAGCGGCGGACGGGUGAGUAACACGUGGAUAACCUACCUAUAAGACUGGGAUAACUUCGGGAAACCGGAGCUAAUACCGGAUAAUAUAUUGAACCGCAUGGUUCAAUAGUGAAAGACGGUUUUGCUGUCACUUAUAGAUGGAUCCGCGCCGCAUUAGCUAGUUGGUAAGGUAACGGCUUACCAAGGCGACGAUGCGUAGCCGACCUGAGAGGGUGAUCGGCCACACUGGAACUGAGACACGGUCCAGACUCCUACGGGAUGCAGCAGUAGGGAAUCUUCCGCAAUGGGCGAAAGCCUGACGGAGCAACGCCGCGUGAGUGAUGAAGGUCUUCGGAUCGUAAAACUCUGUUAUUAGGGAAGAACAAAUGUGUAAGUAACUAUGCACGUCUUGACGGUACCUAAUCAGAAAGCCACGGCUAACUACGUG